GGGCCGCUAGCUCAGUUGGUAGAGCACUUGACUUUUAAUCAAGUUGUCAUAGGUUCGAUCCCUAUGCGGCUCA
rnacentral:tRNA from 1 species